GUAAUCAUACUUUAGCAGUACAAAAAGGACUAAAUUUAGGGGUUAUUUUAUUUAUAGUUUCUGAAGCUUUAUUCUUCAUGGCUAUA